GAAAUGCGAUAAGUAAUGCGAAUUGCAGAAUUCCGUGAGUCAUCGAAUCUUUGAACGCACAUUGCGCCCGCCAGUAUUCUGGCGGGCAUGCCUGUCCGAGCGUCAUUUCUACCAUCAAGCCCCCGGGCUUGCGUUGGGGCCCUGCGGCUGCCCGCAGGCCCCGAAAGACAGUGGCGGGCUCGCUGGCACUCCGAGCGCAGUAGCAUCUCUCUCGCUCCGGUCGUGCCGCGGGUUCCAGCCGUGAAACACCCCCCUUCACAAGGUUGACCUCGGAUCAGGUAGGAAUACCCGCUGAACUUAA
rnacentral:misc_RNA from 1 species